AUGUUUUCAUAAUAUAAAAUUUUAUUUACUGAAUUUUAAUAAGGUCUACCCUAGAGCAAAAAUAAUAAGUCCUAUUUUGAUCAAAGAGGAUUCAGUUUCAACUGGACAUGUUUUAUAAAGGUAAACAUGCUUAAUCAGAUUCAAUUUUACCUUCAGCAACUCUUAAACAGAAGUUUAUCAGCCAAUUAAGUUUAUUCAGAAUCAGGGACAUUUAUGCCUUGGCACAGCAAAAUAUUUAAUCAUAUUUUUAGGUCUAUGCCUUCUUCCUUUUGAGUAUUUGUUUACAUUUCUGGAAGAUUUUAUAAAAUACAUUUUUCUAACUGAGCAAGCCAGUGACUCAAAACUUUAGGUUAGAUUGAAGAAGAGAGGCUUCCUUGAAAAUUUCAGCUCUACACCGAUUAAAAAGGAAAUAGUUUUUAUUCUGUAGGGGAAGAUUAUUUACAUGCACAUUUACCAAAACCUGGUAAAGAUGCAGGGUGCUUUAGAAACAUUGAAGGAGAUGUGGUCAGAGAAACAGGUGUGAUCAUGCCUCCAAAAUGCUUAUAGUUAGUACUGAUGCAAGACCCAUAUUAUAUUCAGAAGGGAAGAACAGAGUAAAUUGAGGAAUAAAACCUAGUUUCAAAACAAAAAGUUUUACUGUUUUGAAGAUGUAGAAGAAUAUGAAUACUGGUACAGGACAUGAGGAUAACUUAAGACUUGAAGCAACAGAAAGAGAAGACAGAAGAGGAACCAUAUCUUACUUGAAAAGGAGGGGGAAUUCAUCAGUGAUGUUUCCCAGGAAUUUGUACCAGGCUUCUGUGCUUCAGUGUUGUCAUAAAUGAUCCCAAAGGGGCUACAAAAUGAGAAGGAUGACUGUGGAUCCCGAGAAGGUUUGCUGACAGGUGAUUUCUCUGACAACUUGGAAGAUGAGAAGUGAUGUUACCAACGUGCUCUGCACACCCACACUGGGGUGCGUAAGCUUGAUUCUGACAGAGUUCUGAUACAUUUGGUAGAAUUACUCUGAUGGAUGAGGAGUAUCCCCAAAGACAGGGUUCGUAGUGAGGCCAGAACUGUGCAGUAUUCUGAUUAGCUGUCCUCCUCCUUGAAGUUUCUUGGUGAGCAGUGCAUACAUGAACACACACUACUUUUUUCCUCCCACGCACACAAACUCUGCAUCAAGUUGUUUAAGUGAGUUGUGACAGUAUUAAUGCUGUUGGCUUCUUUCUGCCGGGGGCUGACUACUGCACUCCUAUCUGGAAAGUUUUCCACCAAACUCAGAGAUUAUUUUUCAUUAAAACAUUAUCUGGUUUUGUCCCUCAAGCUUGGGUGUCUUUCUACUCAUGAAUGUAAACAUCAAAGGCAAUUAAUAAAUCCCUUUGAAUAACGUGCCAAUACUCUACUCUUACAUAACUGUCAGUCCUAAGUAGAAGAUGCUUUCUUACCAACUAAAGCAUCUUGGCAAGGAUUUCACACAUUUUAAAUUAUUUCUGCUGCUUCCAGAGCAUACAUUAGAUAAAAUCUGUUGAAUUUGAAUCAUUGACCCUUAACCUGAACAACAGUUUUACAAAUGUCCUCCAGGAAACACAUUGUGCACUUAACUUCCCCUAUGAAAACUACAAAAAAAUGUACACCAAAAUACAAGGGCCAGAGCCAUGACAGAAUUAGACUUGGACAGGGAUAUGAAAACUACCUCAGCAUACUUGAUAGGAUAAUUUAUUUUCAGCAAUAUACACUGUGUGACUACAAAUAAAUGCAUGACAUUGAGGAAUUGUACAUUUCAUUUUUAAUAGGUUUUUUUUGACUUGCAAAAUAUUUCCAUUGACUCGCAAUGCUUAAAGAGCCAUGAAGUCGUGUUACUGAUGAACAUAGGGUUACUACAAGAAGCCUCAUGCUAUUAGCUCAUACCAGAAAGGAAAUAGCAGAUUUUGUUGGUGAGGGCUUGGAUCUUCAAUGGAGUUGCAGGAAUUUGGGCAGCUGGGGGAAGACCCUGUAGCCUUUUUCUUAGCAGCCUGCUAAAGAGAUCACUGUGGAAGUCUCUUGCUCUAGGAUUCCUACUGCUAGUGGUGGUUUGGGUUUGUUUGUUUUAUUUUAAUUUUUUGAUACAGGAUAAUUCAAGUGAGUAGUCAAUGUGAAGCUUUAUCAUCCUCUGCCUUUGGAUGUCUGAUUAAGCAUGACUUGCUGUGAUUGGGAUUUUAAAUACCAGAAGUCUUUCCAAUUACCUCAAUUACCUUUACCCAAGGAAUGAUUGCUAUUUCCAGGUACGCAUCCUGUUGUCCGCAGUUUCUCCCUCAGGAUUUUCUGGCAUCAUUCUUGCAUUAAUAGGCCUUACGAAAGCUUACUAUAGACUAGCAACUAUCCCACGGUACCUCUGGAGUUUACUGCAGCCCUGACACGCUUUCUGUGUGCAUUUUCUAACUCUUCUACAUCCACUCCAUUUUAGGAAUGUUCAGAAGUUUCAUUUUAUUUAAAGCCUUCAAAUGAUAGAAAUCAUGUGUAUGACAUAGAACACAUCCUAUCCAAAAAACAUUUCUUAUAAAUUCUUCUCUGAUUAUAUAAGCCAUCUGUAAAAGGAAGUUAUAUGAAAAAGAUUAAAAUAGGUAUCACAAAGUAAAUAUUUACAGUAAAACAAGUAGUGAAAUGUGUUAAAUUGUUUCUUCAGUUCCAUGUUCUAAUAGCUCUUCUGGACAUAAUGUAUUUGAAAAAAUAGACUUAAAUAUGGAAAAUCAUUUAUGACUUUCAGAUGUAUGCCCUGUCAUGCUGGUUUGUGGAGAGUGUUGUCUAGAUCUAUGGGGCAUACAAUUGCUGUGCCAAGAUCUGUGGUAGUAUUUUGGCUUCUAGUGCCUAAAUUCCCAUUUACUGAAACAGGACGUGAGUCCUAAGAGAUGAACCCAAAAGAAGAUUUUACUUACACUUGAAACUAUUGGCAGUAUUUUUUGAUUGCAGAGUAGAAUUUUCUUAUGUUUGAACCUUAACUCAUAUAUGUAUAUAAAUAUAUGUAACUACAUAUAUAUAGUUAGCUGAAAUUAUUGUAUAGAUUUUUGAGAGCCACAUGCAGACCUGACACAUGCGGAAAACACAUGGAAGCUAUUGCAUAACAGUGAAACAAUAAAAAUGUAACCAUGGCCUAUUUUUCCUCUUUCAUUCAUUACUAACACUACCCCUUUCUCCCUGAAAGAAAUCUGCAAUGAAAUAUUAAUAGCAACAUACUUUUGAAUAAACAUCUGCAGAUGUAAGCAAUAGCCAUUUAAGCUUGAAUAAACACUCAGAACAAGAAUAGUGAGUGUUAAUAAAGUUCAAAAUUACCAAGAAAAGGCAUUGUCAGAUUAAUCCAGGAAAUUAUACUGCAUUUUCAAAAAGUGUAUUUUUGAAGAAGUAAUACAACCUUUUGCUUUCUUUAUGAGUGAAAAAGAACCUGUCUCCCUCUGCUGGUUUUCAGAGAAAAAAAAGUUUAUAAAGACUAAAAAAUCAUAGCCGAAAUUUUGAUACAAAUUACCAUAUGUUCCACAAUUAGGAC